GAUGAACGCUGGCGGCGUGCCUAAUACAUGCAAGUCGAGCGAACGGACGAGAAGCUUGCUUUUCUGAUGUUAGCGGCGGACGGGUGAGUAACACGUGGAUAACCUACCUAUAAGACUGGGAUAACUUCGGGAAACCGGAGCUAAUACCGGAUAAUAUUUUGAACCGCAUGGUUCAAAAGUGAAAGACGGUCUUUCUGUCACUUAUAGAUGGAUCCGCGCUGCAUUAGCUAGUUGGUAAGGUAACGGCUUACCAGGGCAACGAUGCAUAGCCGACCUGAGAGGGUGAUCGGCCACAGUGGAAGUGAGACACGGUCAAGACUCCUACGGGAGGCAGCAGUAGGGAAUAUUACGCAAUGGGCGAAAGCCUGACGGAGCAACGCCGCGUGAGUGAUGAAGGUCUUCGGAUCGUAAAACUCUGUUAUUAGGGAAGAACAUAUGUGUAAGUAACUGUGCACAUCUUGACGGUACCUAAUCAGAAAGCAACGGCUAACUACGUG
rnacentral:rRNA from 1 species